rnacentral:lncRNA from 1 species
GAAUGAGGUUACUUGAAGAAGAAGAGCACCAAGAUCCAAGCACAACCAGGCAAAAUUAGUCAUUUCUAAAGUCUUUGCUCCGUUCUCGUUACACAAAAACGAGCAAAGAAGGGCAGCUAUAAUAACCAAUUUUAGCCCGGGCCCAAAAUUGAGAAUUCAAAGUCCAUAUUACAAAGUCAAAAAAUAAAAAAAUAAAAAAUUUAUAGCCCAAAAUAGCUUAACCCAGUUACAACACUUAGCCCACUAACCUAAACUCUAGCCCGAUUACAGAGGCCCAACACCUAGCCUAAUUGAGACUGAAACCCUAACAACAUUUGGCUCCCAG